GCCUCCUUAGGAUCCCAACAGUAUAUGGGGUUCAGAGAGCUUAUCGGUGGCAAACACAUCCACACUGGGAGGGUGAUGCACCCCAGCUCCAUGGGGACAGAAGCCCCCGGGCGCCAGAACCUCCCAGCCCCUGCCCUCUGCCUCACUUCAUCUGGCUGCUCAUCUGCAUCCUUGAUCAUGUCCUUUCAUAAACUGCUCCAUAAAGAGUUUCAGAGUUCCCCUCUGUGCCAGGCCCCAUGCUAAUUGAUGAAGAUACAACACUUUGAACAGGAGCUCUAAACUCUGGGGCCUCCCACCCCAUGCUGGAGAAUGGCAAACAUCACUGCAAAGAAGGGUAGGGCUUGUACCCUCAACACAUGACCAAAGUCAAGAGGAGGAGAGGGGAAGGGGAGGUAAUUGGGUAUACUCUCCACACUUUCCCUUCUCCAGCCAGUUCCAGAUUAUGAAUAGAACUGAGUUUUUCAUGCCACUGUGCUGUAUGUAGGUAUAUGUGCAUAUAUUAUAUAUAUAAUUAUAUGUAUUUAUAUAUAUGAAAUAUAUAUAUACAUUUUCUGUGUUUUAGGGAAUAUUCUUUUGCUUUAACCAUCCCAGGGCUAGGUGCCAGGCAACUAAAGACCACCACUAUCACCCAAAGACCACUGAAAUUAUUCACAUAAGCCAUUCCUGAGCAGUUCACCCUGCCCUAUCUUGCUUUCCCUUGAAACCUCAAUAAAGGCCAUGGCCUAAGCAUUUCCCCUGCUCUUGACUUCUGCCUCCUGACCGCCCUGGUGUUUUCCCAUGGGGCCCUGCAUGACGUGCUGAGCCUCCCAUCCCUAGGAACCUUUAAGUACAAUACCCUUUGUUCUCCUGAGCCUCUCUGUGACUCCUCUUGUGGUCACAUCUGUCUGACUACCUCAUAAAAGGAUGCACAAUAGCUAUUUAUCUUUGACAAUGAAUUUUUAGUUUGAAAACCCAUGAGAUGCUUUUAGAAAUUCUGAACAGCACACGAUAGCUUUGGUUAUCUCCAUGCUUCCAUAAGACAGCCAUGGCUCAGUCAUUUUCUGCUGGUUCCUUUGUCCCUGGGGUUCUCUACAGAAGGACGCUAGAGCCACUGCUUGGUAAGCUGUGAGGGGUCACUUAAGCAACCUACUAUUUCUCUGGCAGUGGUGUGUGUGUGUGUGUGUGUGUGUGUGUGUGUGCACUACAGUGAGGAUGGGGGCGAUAGUUGCAAACUUAAACUCCAGACCACAGAUUGAGAUCUCAGCCCUAACUUGAUGACCUUGGAUAAGCCACUGAACCUCUCUAAUGUUUCCAUUCCUGCCUCUGCAAAGAGGGGACCGGAACACCUUCCACACAGCAUUCACAAGAGCACCAGAAAUGGCCGCAAAGAACCCGGCAGCCUGGUGAAGCAGGGCCUCACAGAAGGGAAGCUGCCUCUCCUGCACUUCAACCAGAACAACAUUUGUUUUCUCCAGAAUCAUGGGUAACAUCUGCCUAGAAAAGGAGAUGAUGAAGACUUAGAGCUGUCAGGGAAUUAUGGAACCACCAACUCUGUAGGUGAGUCUCAGUAAAAUCUGUAAGUUUUUGAAAUCAUGGUAUCUCCAUUCCUGAAAUGUAGAGUCUUAGCAGACUCUACGCUAAGUUGCUAGCAUAGAGUCUGCACUCAAAAAACAAUUGCUGACUGGCUUGAAAGAUAUAAUAGUUAUGCAAAAAAAAAAACAGUUAAUGCUUACUGAGCACAUAAUAGUUAAUGCCAGACAUUAUACAAGGCUACUUACACAUACUAAUUCCCUUAAUUUCCACAGCAACUCUAUGAGAUAUGCUACUAAUAUAUCUCCAAUUUGAGGAUGGGAGACUGAGACACGGAGAGGGUCAGUAACUUGGCCAAGGUCACAUAGCUUAGAUUAGCUGGUAUUCAAACCUAGCAACAACCAUGGUGUUUUUUAAUCCACUAGCAUCUCCCAGGGGUCAAGCCCUGGCUAGAUAUCCAUUCUUCUAGUCAUCACAACAGUUCUCCAGGGAGGAUGAUUAAGCUCUUUUUACUGAUGAGGCCAAGGGAAGUGAAGUGACCACAGAUUUCCCAUGCUAGAAUACGGGAAUUAAAGAAAAAUUUCACCACGCUCAAGUUCUUGGAUAUGAAUUUAUCUGCCUUGUGCCCCUGAGCCUGCUCAAGCCUCAUGCAACCCACCCUGGACCUCUUUGAGAAUUCAGCUCAUGCUAUGUGACAUUAACCAGCCCAAUGGGCGACUGCAAAGAGUUUACAAUCCACUUCUUGAGCCACUACCAUGCACUCAGAAUUUUGCCUUAUUUGUGGCAUUUCUUACUUUCUGCUCUAUAUUCAGUGUCCACUCAGGGAGAGCUACUGAACAUAUUGCAUGUGUGACAUGGUUCUCCUCUGCCUGGUGAGUAAUACAUUCAGCUUUGUUCUUUUCAGUUUUGUAUUCACCGUUUUGAUAUGGUAUGUGUUUGAUUCCAAAGCCUGUAACAUUUUGCCUGCUGUUGCCCACCUUAUUGAGAAUACAUAAUAUUUUGCAAGUUGGACUCUUUGAAAAAGAGUCACCUUGGCCACCUUUCCAGGGAGGUUUGUGCUUAUAGUGGGCUGAAUGAUUACCUCCCCAAGGUGUCCCUGUCCUAAUCCCUGGGACCUGUGAAUAUUACCUGACAGGGCAAAAGAGGCUUUAUGGGUAUGAUUAAGAUAAUGAAUCUUUAGAAGGAAGAUUAUUCUGGAUUAUCUGGGUGGGCCCAAUGUAAUCACAAAGGUCCUUAUAAAAGGGAGAUAGGAAGGUUAGAAUCACAGAAAGAGAUGUGAUUA